AUGAACAAAACCAGAUACACUAUUGCGAGCCAACUGCCCCCAUCAAAUUCGUCCAAGGUCAUCCUGUCUCCUCUCAGAUCUCGUUGGUCUCUCCAUUCUUGGUGCCUGAUUAAGCACAAGAUUAUUAAUAGACACCAUCGCUCUGACGGGAUAUAUGGUAUUGUUGGUUCGAGCGCGUCUCUCGGUCUUUGGUUCAGUGUCAUCUAUGACACCAUCGCUCGGCCGGGCUAUCUGGUGCGAGGAAGCGCCAUCGGAGAACCCAGUCCGCACGAGUAG
rnacentral:rRNA from 1 species